AGUAAAAAAAGAGCAACAUACAAUAUAUAAAAAUAAAAUUAAAACAUAAAAUAAAAAUUAAUAGGAAAAUUAUAAAUUUAAAAGAAAAAACGGGAGGUUGUUAAAAAAAAUAAAGUAAUUUUUAUCUUAUAUACUAUUUAUAAACAACAUCCUUGCUUUAAAGAAGAAGGUCUGCCACCAGUUUCAAAUCUUCAUAAUAUUUAAACAGCUGAUUUUUCAACUGUUUGCUUACUAUCAACAUGACAUUUGUGUUUAUCUAACUUACCUUUGCAAUGUUUGGAAAGUUGCCCAAUAUGAUCCUGAUAGUAGAAAUAUUAAAAAAUAAAAACCACCUGGUACACUUGGUCUUAGGACAGCCGAAAAGAAUAAUGUAGCCAAACAGAAUAAGGGCGCUAUCUUAAUAAGACCAUCAAAAUUUGGCUUAUCAUUGUCUUCUUGUGUUUUUCGCCCUAAAUCUGUAUUGAUUUUGACAGCUGUUAACUCGCCGCCAGCAGUUGCGCUACCACUAGCUUCCAGUGUUUCUUCGAUAUCAGCUGC